rnacentral:rRNA from 1 species
GAUCUCAAAUCAGGUAGGACUACCCGCUGAACUUAAGCAUAUCAAUAAGCGGAGGAAAAGAAACUAACAAGGAUUCUCCUAGUAACUGCGAGUGAAGCGGGAAAAGCUCAAAUUUAAAAUCUGGCGUGCCUCUGGUCGUCCGAGUUGUAGUUUAGAGAAGCGUUUUCUGUGUUGGACCGUGUAUAAGUCUCUUGGAACAGGGCGUCAUAGAGGGUGAGAAUCCCGUCUUUGACACGGACUACCAAUGCUUUGUGAUACGCUCUCAAAGAGUCGAGUUGUUUGGGAAUGCAGCUCAAAAUGGGUGGUAAAUUCCAUCUAAAGCUAAAUAUAGGCGAGAGACCGAUAGCGAACAAGUACCGUGAGGGAAAGAUGAAAAGCACUUUGGAAAGAGAGUUAAACAGUACGUGAAAUUGCUGAAAGGGAAACGC